rnacentral:tRNA from 1 species
GCGGAAGUGUCGGAAUUGGCAGACGAGCAAGAUUCAGGUUCUUGUGAGCGUUACGCUCGUGAGGGUUCAAGUCCCUUCUUCCGCAUCA